rnacentral:rRNA from 1 species
UGAGGAAUAUUGGUCAAUGGGCGCGAGCCUGAACCAGCCAUCCCGCGUGCAGGAAGACGGCCCUAUGGGUUGUAAACUGCUUUUGCGCAUGAAGAAUGUUACCGACGUGUCGGUAAGUGACGGUAAUGCGUGAAUAAGCAUCGGCUAACUCCGUGCCAGCCGCCGCGGUAAUACGGAGGAUGCAAGCGUUAUCCGGAUCUAUUGGGUUUAACGGGUGCGUAGGCGGCGUUGUAAGUCAGAGGUGAAAACCUGCAGCUCAACGGUAGGCGUGCCAAUGAAACUGUGAGGCUUGAGUGACGUAGAGGCAGGCGGAAUGUGUAGUGUAGCGGUGAAAUGCGUAGAUAUUACACAGAACACCGAUUGCGUAGGCAGCUUGCUAAAGGUUAACUGACGCUGAUGCACGAAAGCGUGGGGAUCGAACA